rnacentral:lncRNA from 10 species
UGAGAUUCAAUGAAGAUGAUAAGAAAUGAAAGGUGUUACCAAAAUGCACUGGUCUAGAGAGCGGCAGUUGGACCCCAGAGUGUGGCACGUGUUCCUGUGUUCAUUUGAACAUUCUCUGAUGACCUGUCGCUGAGGUCCUGUGAUGAUGCGUAUCCUGUCUUCCACCCCAACUGCCACUGUGUUUCAACUGUCGCUGGCUGUGUUUCAACUGCCGCUGUGUUGGAACUGCCAGCUAGACUGCUCACCAAAAUGGGAGGCAGCCUCUGCUGCUGUGGUGAAGGUGAAGACACACUCAGCGAUUCAGCUCUACAGUAUGCACUCUGGGAUCUCCCAUUUGCUAAGGAAGGAUCUUAGCUUUGAGAAAGUGGCAAGAGAUCCCCUCUUGAGGAGACUCCG